GACGAACGCUGGCGGCGUGCUUAACACAUGCAAGUCGAACGGAAAGGCCCUGCUUUUGUGGGGUGCUCGAGUGGCGAACGGGUGAGUAACACGUGAGUAACCUGCCCUUGACUUUGGGAUAACUUCAGGAAACUGGGGCUAAUACCGGAUAGGAGCUCCUGCUGCAUGGUGGGGGUUGGAAGUUUCGGCGGUUGGGGAUGGACUCGCGGCUUAUCAGCUUGUUGGUGGGGUAGUGGCUUACCAAGGCUUUGACGGGUAGCCGGCCUGAGAGGGUGACCGGCCACAUUGGGACUGAGAUACGGCCAGACUCCUACGGGAGGCAGCAGUGGGGAAUAUUGCACAAUGGGCGGAAGCCUGAUGCAGCAACGCCGCGUGCGGGAUGACGGCCUUCGGGUUGUAAACCGCUUUCGCCUGUGACGAAGCGUGAGUGACGGUAAUGGGUAAAGAAGCACCGGCUAACUACGUG
rnacentral:rRNA from 1 species